AUGACCCAUCAAUCAUGAAUUUAUUCAUGCUUGGCAUUGGGCAAGGAUAGAGCUUGGCUCAUUCCUGUCUGAAAUUCAAUGGCGAAGUCAUAUGUUCCAUUCAGUGUAGUAAUCAACGUUAUGUUUCACUGCUGGACAUGAUCGGCUUCUGUCACAAAUUGUUUCCCCCAUUCUAAAC
rnacentral:misc_RNA from 1 species